AUUUUUACAAGCAGAUGGUGGAUGCCUUGGGAUAUGAAGGCGAUGAAGGGCGUGGCGUGACUGCGAUAAGCUUCGGGGAGGUGUCUAGCAACCUUUGAUCCGGAGAUUUCCGAAUGGGAUAACCCCAUUCGCCGUUGAGGCGAAUGACUCUGGCAUUUAUGUCAGAGAGCCAACCCGCUGAAGUAAAACAUUCCAGUAAGCGGUGGAAAAGAAAACGAACGUGAUUCCCCUAGUAGCGGCGAGCGAAAAGGGAAUAGCCUAAACCUUUGUAUGAAAGUACAGAGGGGUUGCAAGGGAAUAGCGUCGGGAGCAUUACUCUCGCCUCCUUUUUGGUGGUGCGGGAGUAGCGCUUGACCGAGGGAGAAAACCUAGUCAGUAAAUUAAAAGAAACUCCUUGGAAAGGGGUGCCAUAGAGGGUAAGAGCCCCGUAUUUGAAAAUUUUUCUGUGCUCCUUGCUAUUCUUCUUAAGUACCUCGAGAAACGAAAUCCUCGUGGGAAGCUUCCCAGACUACUGGGAAAGGCUAAAUACUUCAUAUCACCGAUAGUGAAUCAGUACCGUGAGGGAAAGGUGAAAAGCAGCCCGGUGAGGGCGGUGAAAUAGUACCUGAAACCAUCUUGCUUACAAAGAGUAGGAGUCCGCCGCAAGGCGGAUGACUGCGUGCUUUUUGCAGAACGAGCCAACGAGUUUAUGUGUGUUGCAGUCUAAGCCCUUCUGGGGCGUAGGCACAGGGAAACCGAGUGUUAAUAGCGCGUUUUCCGCCUUUGGCGGAGUGCAGCACAUGUAAGACCCGAAGCCAGGUGAGCUUGCCAUGAUCAGGGUGAAGGCCGACGAAAGUCGGCCGGAGGCCCGAACCCGUGAGUCGUUCAAUUCUCUGGGAUGAAUUGUGGUAAGAAGUGAAAAGCUAACCGAACCUGGUAAUAGCUGGUUCUCUCCGAAAUAGCUUUUGGGCUAGCGUUCAUCUUCGCAUUCUGGAGGUAGAGCUCUGGAAGGGGUGUCCUUGGCGCAAGCCAGGCAUUCCUACCAAACUUCGAAUGCCGGAAUUAAUGGAUGAGCAGUUAGAACGUGGGGGCUAAGCUCCGCGCUCAAAAGGGAAAGAGCCCAGAUCUCAAUCUAAGGUCCCCAAAUCAAACUAAGUGCAAAUUGCAAGGAAGUGAAAUUCCUGUGAUAGCUAGGAGGUUUGCUCAGAAGCAGCCAUCCUUUAAAAAGUGCGUAAUAGCUUACUAGCUAAGGAGUUUUGCGCCGAAAAUUCACAGGGGCUCAAGUUUGAUACCGAAGAUGAGGAUUCCGCCGUAAGGCGGAGUGGUAGGAGAGCGUCUCUAUUGCAUUGAAGCUCUGCUGGAAGGCAGGGUGGAGCGAUAGGGAGUGAGAAUGUUGGCAUGAGUAAUCGCAACCGAGGUGAGAGCCCUCGGCGCCGUAAAUCCGAGGUUUCCUUGGCAAUGAUGAUCAUCCAAGGGUUAGGCGGGCCUUAGUGAUGCGCCAAAUGGUGUAUCGCGAUGGACAGCUGGUGAAUAUUCCAGCCCUUCCAUAUUUUUCUGAAGAGUGACGAAGAAUAGUACUUCGAGCAGAUUAUUGGAUUUCUGUUCGUGGCAUGACUUUCCGCCGCAAGGUGGAUGGAAGUGUUGCGGAAACUGUUUCCUACGGGAGACGGGAUUCGAAAGAGCAUUCUUCCCAGAAAAGCUCGUAGGGUUAAAAAUAUGGGAACCGUACCGUAAACCGACACAGGUGGAUUAGUAUAAAAGUACUAAGGCGAACGGGUGAAAGCUCCUGAAGGAACUAGGCAAAAAAGUGUCCGUAAGUUCGCGAUAAGGACUUCCGCCGCAAGGCGGACGCAGCGAAUGUUUCCCUGGCGACUGUUUAUCAAAAACACAGGUCUCUGCUAAACUCGAAAGAGGAUGUAUAGAGGCUGACACCUGACCAGUGCUGGAGUGUUAACGGUGGGGGUGUGGUUUACGCAAGUAGAUCAUGCUCACUGCCCGAAGCCCCAGUGAACGUCCGCGGUAACUAUAACCGUGUUAAAGUAGCGUAGCCCCUUGCCUGGUAAGUUCAGGCCCGCAUGAAAGGUGUAACGACUUGGGAACUGUCUCCAGGAGCUGCCCGAUGAAAAUGCAAUACCGGUGAAGAUGCCGGUUACCUGCGGCUAGACGAAAAGACCCCGGGAGCUUUACUGUAGCUUCUUAUUGUCUUAUCGUUUUGGAUGCGUAGAAUAGUGGGGAGGAUUUGAAGUCCCGCUUCCGGGCGGGAUGGAUCCGACAGUGAAAUACCCAUCUUUCAAAAUGCUAAGUCUAACCCCGUUCAUAGCGGGAGACAGUUGGAGGCGGUCAGUUUUAGUGGGGCGCUAGCCUCCUAAAAAGUAGCGGAGGCGUUUAAAGGUCAGCUAGCUCCGGAUGGAAAUCGGAGCGUUCGUGUAAAGGCAUAAGCUGGCUUAACUGCGAGACGGAUAUGUCGAGCAGAUGGGAAACCAGAACUUAGUGAACCGACCUAUUUUUGUAGAAAAUGGGAAGAUCAUCAACCAAAAGUUACCCCGGGGAUAACAGGCUGGUAGGGCCCGCGAGUCCAUAUCUACGGCCCUGUUCGGCACCUCGAUGUCGGCUCAUCACAUCCUGGGGGGGCAGCACCUCCCAAGGGUUUGGCUGUUCGCCAAUUAAAGUGGUACGUGAGCUGGGUUCAGACCGUCGUGAGACAGGUUGGUCUCUAUCUACCGCAGGCGUUGAGUUUUGAAGAGAUUCGUUUCUAGUACGAGAGGACCGAAACGAACUAACCUCUGGUGUACCAGUUGUCCUGCCAAGGGCAUCGCUGGGUAGCUAAGUUGGGAACGGAUAAGCGCUGAAAGCAUCUAAGCGCGAAACCGCCUCUAAGAUGAGAACUCGAAGAUCCCUCGAAGAUGACGAGGUAAUAGGCUUUAGGUGGAAGCUCCGCGAGGAGUGAAGCCAAGAAGUACUAA
rnacentral:rRNA from 1 species